CACCCGUUACGGAGGGCCUCCCUGGUCCGGACCAUGCAGGGUGGGUGGGGUUAUUGGGAAAAGUCACAUUCACCUUCUAGGGACGCAAAGGAACAAGAUCUUCUUCUCCUUCAUGCUGACUCCGCUGUUUAAGAAGCCCAAGUUUGCCAGCACGGUGGGAUCGAUGCUGAUGGACCUGGACUUCUUCGUGUGGUUUCCAUGAUGAAGGGGCAAGGACUUGAAAAUAAUUAGCAGUUGAUCCUGCUCUUAGACGAGCCCACGGCCGGGAUGGACCCCUACUCCAGGCACCAGGUGUGGUCUCUGCUGAAGAGUCGCCGGACCGGCAGAGUCACUGUGCUCAGCACGCACUACAUGGACGAGGCAGACAUCCUUGCUGGUACGAAUGCUCCUUGUUGUGUAAGAUACACAAACCCACACUUUGGACUGGAAAUAUAGACCAGAAAUUGUGCUUUAUUUUUAUCCUGGAUGAUGGUAUCUCAGGAUCUUCUAGCUUGAUCAAUAUUUGAAUCAGGAGCUGGUGUUGCAGAAAAUUUUCCGUCUUUUCUUGAUGAUGUUUAAAAUAAAACCGUUUGACCGGAUGAACAGUUUUCACUCAGGUUUGUUGUGUGUGCAUAUUUUAAAGUAUACUGCUAACAUAUGCUCCAGCUUGGUGAUAUUAUUCAUCAUGAGGUCAGCGCUGAGUUUCCUUCCUUGCUGCAGGAGAAUUUCAAGAGUGAGAUUCAAGGUGCAGAGUGUUAGAUUUGUAUUGUUGAUUGUCAUUAAUGCUUAGAAAUAUCUACCCAUAUAUGCUUAGAGUUUUAUAAUUAGUUGUAGAUUGAUAGAGGUUUGAUCCUUAGUAGU